rnacentral:lncRNA from 1 species
AGGGGCGAGACAGUUCAGCGUGUGCAGAGCUGGGUCUUUUCGUCCUGGUAUCCUCAGGCUCGGACAUGGCUCCUGCCCAGCUAAUUUAAGGCUCAUCACCAGGAUGCUAUCAUCCCAGACGAAGGCCUAGUACCAAGAUAAAGAUCAGAUCCGCUCUCGGGGAGUCCUGCCAUGAAGACACAGAGAAGGGUGACCUCCAGAGCUGAAGC